rnacentral:rRNA from 1 species
GACGUAGGGCGCGAGCGUUGUCCGGAUUUAUUGGGCGUAAAGAGCUCGUAGGCGGCUUGUUGCGUCAGCUGUGAAAUCCCGCGGCUCAACUGCGGGUCUGCAGCCGAUACGGGCAGGCUAGAGUUCGGUAGGGGAGACUGGAAUUCCUGGUGUAGCGGUGAAAUGCGCAGAUAUCAGGAGGAACACCGGUGGCGAAGGCGGGUCUCUGGGCAUUAACUGACGCUGAGGAGCGAAAGUGUGGGGAGCGAACAGG